AGCACCUGAACCGGACAUCGUAGGAGAACCAUUUCUGCAUCAGAUUGGGUUUAGCACCUGAACCGGACAUCGUAGGAGAACCAUUUCUGCAUCAGAUUGGGUUUAGCACCUGAACCGGACAUCGUAGGAGAACCAUUUCUGCAUCAGAUUGUAAGUAUUAAAUUUGUUUAUCAUUUUCAUA